rnacentral:rRNA from 1 species
GAUGAACGCUGGCGGCGUGCCUAACACAUGCAAGUCGAGCGAUUUACUUCGGUAAAGAGCGGCGGACGGGUGAGUAACGCGUGGGUAACCUGCCUCAUACACAUGGAUAACAUACCGAAAGGUAUGCUAAUACAAGAUGAUAUAAGAGAUUCGCAUGGAUUUCUUAUCAAAGCUUUUGCGGUAUGAGAUGGACCCGCGUCUGAUUAGCUAGUUGGUAAGGUAACGGCUUACCAAGGCGACGAUCAGUAGCCGACCUGAGAGGGUGAUCGGCCACAUUGGAACUGAGACACGGUCCAAACUCCUACGGGAGGCAGCAGUGGGGAAUAUUGCACAAUGGGCGAAAGCCUGAUGCAGCAACGCCGCGUGAGCGAUGAAGGCCUUCGGGUCGUAAAGCUCUGUCCUCAAGGAAGAUAAUGACGGUACUUGAGGAGGAAGCCCCGGCUAACUACGUGUCAGCAGCAGCCGCGGUAA